GCCAAUCUUGCAAAAGAAAUUUGUCUUGUAUGGAAAGUGAAUGAUUGGGUUGCUGUUGCAUAUGAAAAACAAUGGAAUAUUGGGUAUAUUGUGGAGGUAUCUAUAACUGGGAUCAGAGUUAAUUGUAUGAUUAACGGGCAAGAGAAGAAUACUUUUUGCUGGCCAGUUACUACCGAGGAGAUAAAUAACCAAACUGAUAAAAUUAUCUGUUUAGUAAAUGCUCCUUUUCUAAUCAGUGGUUGUGGCGAUUAUUCAUUAUCCGAAGAAGACUAUAAUACAGUCAUAUCAUUAUUCUUAGAGAAACUUACUGCAGCAGAGUAAAAAUUAUGUGUGAUGUGGUGGAUAAUGUGUGUAAAUGACUCUAUUAAUAAAUGAAAAACUAAUUUUUAAAUGGAAAAACAUUUAAAUGUUUGAUUUAUGUUUUAUUUAAUUAGCAAUAUAGUUAUCUUGAUGUUA